UACGAAGGGGGCUAGCGUUGCUCGGAAUUACUGGGCGUAAAGGGCGCGUAGGCGGACAGUUUAGUCAGAGGUGAAAUCCUGGGGCUCAACCUCAGAAUUGCCUCCGAUACUGGCAGUCUCGAGUGCGGGAGAGGUGAGUGGAAUUCCCAGUGUAGAGGUGAAAUUCGUAGAUAUUGGGAAGAACACCAGUGGCGAAGGCGGCUCACUGGCCCGUAACUGACGCUGAGGUGCAAAAGCGUGGGGAGCAAACAGG
rnacentral:rRNA from 1 species